GAGCUCCUACGGGGGGCAGCAGUGGGGAAUAUUGCACAAUGGGGGAAACCCUGAUGCAGUGACGCCGCGUGAGUGAGGAAGUAUUUCGGUAUGUAAAGCUCUAUCAGCAGGGAAGAAAAUGACGGUACCUGACUAAGAAGCCCCGGCUAACUACGUGCCAGCAGCCGCGGUAAUACGUAGGGGGCAAGCGUUAUCCGGAUUUACUGGGUGUAAAGGGAGCGUAGACGGAUAAGCAAGUCUGAUGUGAAACUCCGGUGCCCAACCCCGGAAUUGCAUUGGAAACUGCAUAUCUAGAGUGUCGGAGA
rnacentral:rRNA from 1 species